rnacentral:lncRNA from 1 species
CUACAACACAAGGAGUAGAUCUAAUAUGGCCGCUGGCUUAGUCAGUUCAGGCUACUAUAACAAAUUACCGUAGUUUGGUGGGCUUACACAACAAACUUUUAUGUCAUAGUUCUUUAGGAUAGAAGUCCAAGAUCAGGGUUGUGAUCCGGGACUUCAGAUCAGAGCUGCAGCAUGGUGGUGUUCUUGCAGAGAAGUCCCGAUGGAGUCAGUGAGCUGUCAAACCACGAGGUGAUACAGAAAACCAAUCUGAAAAUGAAGAGAACAAUGCAGGGUGUAUAGGAAGACUAUGGAGGAAGACGCAGGCUGACAUCUGCCCCAUCACAAUAAAGUGUCAGCAUCUUGCACGUGAAUGAAGAAACCGGCCCUUUGAGAACCGGUCCAACCCAGGGUUCCAGGCCUUCCCAGGUCCCUUCCAGCUUUCCCCUGGUUCCCAAGCAUCCACCCAUCUCAAGGCCAGGGCGUGCGUUCCCAAGGAUGCUCGGCCCUCUCCCAACCCGCGGCCUCCUCCCCUCUCUCCUGCUGCUGCUGCCGCGAAAACCAGGAGAAGUGGAAUGCGCACGGCGAAGCGCCGCGCUCUCGCGGAGGCACUGGGCAUGCUCGGCACCCAGGGCAGGUUUGGGCGGCGGGGCGGACGCUUCCUCACUAGCCAGGCGCCCGAGCCGGCCGCCGAGGCAGAGGUGGAGGCUGAGGCUGCCGCGCGCCGCGGGAGGAGCCUCGCCCUCGGCGGCCGCGGCGGCGGCGGCACAGGUGGCGCGGGC